rnacentral:rRNA from 1 species
CACGUAGGGCGCAAGCGUUGUCCGGAAUUAUUGGGCGUAAAGAGCUCGUAGGCGGUCUGUUGCGUCCGCUGUGAAAACUCGGGGCUUAACCCCGAGCCUGCAGUGGAUACGGGCAGACUAGAGUGCGGUAGGGGAGAUUGGAAUUCCUGGUGUAGCGGUGGAAUGCGCAGAUAUCAGGAGGAACACCGGUGGCGAAGGCGGGUCUCUGGGCCGAUAUUGACGCUGAGGAGCGAAAGCGUGGGGAGCAAACAGG